rnacentral:rRNA from 1 species
UACAGAGGGUGCGAGCGUUAAUCGGAUUUACUGGGCGUAAAGCGCGCGUAGACGGUUUUGUAAGUCAGAUGUGAAAUCCCCGGGCUCAACCUGGGAACUGCAUUUGAAACUGCAUGGCUAGAGUACGGUAGAGGGAAGCGGAAUUUCAGGUGUAGCGGUGAAAUGCGUAGAUAUCUGAAGGAACACCAGAGGCGAAAGCGGCGUCCUGGACCAGUACUGACGUUCAUGUGCGACAGCGUGGGGAGCAAACAGG